rnacentral:rRNA from 1 species
UACGUAGGGUGCAAGCGUUAAUCGGAAUUACUGGGCGUAAAGCGUGCGCAGGCGGUUUUGUAAGUCUGACGUGAAAUCCCCCGGGCUCAACCUGGGAAUUGCGUUGGAGACUGCAAGGCUGGAGUCUGGCAGAGGGGGGGUAGAAUUCCACGUGUAGCAGUGAAAUGCGUAGAGAUGUGGAGGAACACCGAUGGCGAAGGCAGCCCCCUGGGUCAAGACUGACGCUCAUGCACGAAAGCGUGGGGAGCAAACAGG